AGAAGGACGAAGCCGAGUGUUUUUUGUGCCGUGAUUCAUGUCAGGCUUCUCUAUAGGAGUCAUUAAUAAGAAAUUAAGACCAGUAAAGUAGUAUAAUAGGAGAUCUUUAAGAUUGGAUUCUGUCUUUACACGCCACGGCACAUGCUAACAGACGAAGAAGCAGAGUUUGAAUUAUCGAAUGUUAAAUAAACAUGACCACGGUGGUUAAAUUCACUCAGAAUUAGCACAUCGUUACUUAGAAUUGUUAGUGCCCCAAUUGCUUAUAACCAAAACUUUUAGGUUUGUCUGUUCGUGGGCACUAUUUUUAACCACUUCCAAGCCAGGGCAGUACGUAGGUGGUUAAUGUGUUGGACAAAACAAAAGAUGGAUGGGAGAUGAUAAACUCUUGUUUGGAAGAGAAUGGAUGUCAAUGUCAGACCACCGGCCCAAUUUUGAAACGCAGGAACACCAUUAUA